GACGAACGCUGGCGGCGUGCUUAACACAUGCAAGUCGAACGGAAAGGCCCUGCUUUUGUGGGGUGCUCGAGUGGCGAACGGGUGAGUAAAACGUGAGUAACCUGUCCUUGACUUUGGGAUAUCUUCAGGAAACUGGGGCUAAUACCGGAUAGGAUCUCCUGCUGCAUGGUGGGGGUUGGAAAGUUUCGGCGUUUGGGGAUGGACUCGCGGCUUAUCAGCUUGUUGGUGGGGUAGUGGCUUACCAAGGCUUUGACGGGUAGCCGGCCUGAGAGGGUGACCGGCCACAUUGGGACUGAGAUACGGCGCAGACGCCUACGGGAGGCAGCAGUGGAGAAUAUUGCACAAUGGGCGGAAGCCUGAUGCAGCAACGCCGCGUGCGGGAUGACGGCCUUCGAGUUGUAAACAGCUGUCGCCUGUGACGAAGCGUGAGUGACGGUAAUGGGUAAAGAAGCACCGGCUAACUACGUG
rnacentral:rRNA from 1 species